UUAAAUUGAAGAGUUUGAUCAUGGCUCAGAUUGAACGCUGGCGGCAGGCCUAACACAUGCAAGUCGAACGGUAACAGGAAGCAGCUUGCUGCUUUGCUGACGAGUGGCGGACGGGUGAGUAAUGUCUGGGAAACUGCCUGAUGGAGGGGGAUAACUACUGGAAACGGUGGCUAAUACCGCAUAACGUCGCAAGACCAAAGAGGGGGACCUUCGGGCCUCUUGCCAUCAGAUGUGCCCAGAUGGGAUUAGCUUGUUGGUGAGGUAACGGCUCACCAAGGCGACGAUCCCUAGCUGGUCUGAGAGGAUGACCAGCCACACUGGAACUGAGACACGGUCCAGACUCCUACGGGAGGCAGCAGUGGGGAAUAUUGCACAAUGGGCGCAAGCCUGAUGCAGCCAUGCCGCGUGUAUGAAGAAGGCCUUCGGGUUGUAAAGUACUUUCAGCGGGGAGGAAGGUGUUGUGGUUAAUAACCACAGCAAUUGACGUUACCCGCAGAAGAAGCACCGGCUAACUCCGUGCCAGCAGCCGCGGUAAUACGGAGGGUGCAAGCGUUAAUCGGAAUUACUGGGCGUAAAGCGCACGCAGGCGGUCUGUCAAGUCGGAUGUGAAAUCCCCGGGCUCAACCUGGGAACUGCAUUCGAAACUGGCAGGCUUGAGUCUUGUAGAGGGGGGUAGAAUUCCAGGUGUAGCGGUGAAAUGCGUAGAGAUCUGGAGGAAUACCGGUGGCGAAGGCGGCCCCCUGGACAAAGACUGACGCUCAGGUGCGAAAGCGUGGGGAGCAAACAGGAUUAGAUACCCUGGUAGUCCACGCCGUAAACGAUGUCUACUUGGAGGUUGUGCCCUUGAGGCGUGGCUUCCGGAGCUAACGCGUUAAGUAGACCGCCUGGGGAGUACGGCCGCAAGGUUAAAACUCAAAUGAAUUGACGGGGGCCCGCACAAGCGGUGGAGCAUGUGGUUUAAUUCGAUGCAACGCGAAGAACCUUACCUGGUCUUGACAUCCACAGAACUUUCCAGAGAUGGAUUGGUGCCUUCGGGAACUGUGAGACAGGUGCUGCAUGGCUGUCGUCAGCUCGUGUUGUGAAAUGUUGGGUUAAGUCCCGCAACGAGCGCAACCCUUAUCCUUUGUUGCCAGCGGUCCGGCCGGGAACUCAAAGGAGACUGCCAGUGAUAAACUGGAGGAAGGUGGGGAUGACGUCAAGUCAUCAUGGCCCUUACGACCAGGGCUACACACGUGCUACAAUGGCGCAUACAAAGAGAAGCGACCUCGCGAGAGCAAGCGGACCUCAUAAAGUGCGUCGUAGUCCGGAUUGGAGUCUGCAACUCGACUCCAUGAAGUCGGAAUCGCUAGUAAUCGUGGAUCAGAAUGCCACGGUGAAUACGUUCCCGGGCCUUGUACACACCGCCCGUCACACCAUGGGAGUGGGUUGCAAAAGAAGUAGGUAGCUUAACCUUCGGGAGGGCGCUUACCACUUUGUGAUUCAUGACUGGGGUGAAGUCGUAACAAGGUAACCGUAGGGGAACCUGCGGUUGGAUCACCUCCUUACCUGAAAGAA
rnacentral:rRNA from 1 species